GCGUGAGUGAAGAAGGCCUUAGGGUUGUAAAGCUCUUUCACCGGGGACGAUGAUGACGGUACCCGGAGAAGAAGCCCCGGCUAACUCCGUGCCAGCAGCCGCGGUAAUACGGAGGGGGCUAGCGUUGUUCGGAAUCACUGGGCGUAAAGCGCGCGUAGGCGGCGCGAUGAAGUCGGGCGUGAAAGCCCGGGGCUCAACCCCGGAACUGCGCUCGAUACUGGCGUGCUGGAGGACGGGAGAGGAGAGUGGAAUUCCCAGUGUAGAGGUGAAAUUCGU
rnacentral:rRNA from 1 species